AACGAACGCUGGCGGCAUGCCUAACACAUGCAAGUCGAACGAGACCUUCGGGUCUAGUGGCGCACGGGCGCGUAACGCGUGGGAAUCUGCCCUUUGCUUCGGAAUAACAGUUAGAAAUGACUGCUAAUACCGGAUGAUGUCUUCGGACCAAAGAUUUAUCGGCAAGGGAUGAGCCCGCGUAGGAUUAGGUAGUUGGUGGGGUAAAGGCCUACCAAGCCGACGAUCCUUAGCUGGUCUGAGAGGAUGAUCAGCCACACUGGGACUGAGACACGGCCCAGACUCCUACGGGAGGCAGCAGUGGGAAUAUUGGACAAUGGGCGCAAGCCUGAUCCAGCAAUGCCGCGUGAGUGAUGAAGGCCUUCGGGUCGUAAAGCUCUUUUACCAGGGAUGAUAAUGACAGUACCUGGAGAAUAAGCUCCGGCUAACUCCGUGCCAGCAGCCGCGGUAAU
rnacentral:rRNA from 1 species